rnacentral:lncRNA from 1 species
GACACACACCCGUCGUGCGGUGCGGGCAAAAUACUUGUGUAUGCCCAGUACAGACAAUACACGCUCCUACGUCUCACAACAAGAACUCAGUCUUAGUGGUAAGUGUAGGGUCGAAUCCCACAGGGAGUGAGGAACCACUUUGUUCUCCAACGACAAACUGAGGUGUCACAAUUCUCAAUCUGUAUACUCUGCACAAGAAAUUAACAAGAUCAAUAAUAACAAGGGGUGAGG